ensembl:lncRNA
CCGAGCGGCCAGAGAAACGGAGGAGCGGCUGUAGUAAGAGUGCGAUGAAGGACGAUGAAGGAUGGCUUAAUGCAGACCAGGAUGUGGACUUGUUUGCCUUGCACUGGUCUUACAUGCCACAACUUCAGAGGCAUCUGCAAGAAUUUCAGAGUGCCUGGAAUAGUCACAGUCUAAGAUCUGCAGGCAGCAGAACUCCUACUGCAGCUUUGGUCAAAUCAUGAGAAGGAAAACUCCAAUCAGGGCCCUCAAAUAUGCUAGACUGUUGGACAGCCUUAAGGAGCAAUCUGAGGUACUCUCUAGUUGGACCACCACC